GGGCGGUUAGCUCAGCGGCAGAGCAUUGCAUUCACAUUGCAAGGGUCAUCCGUUCAAAUCGGAUACCGCCCA
rnacentral:tRNA from 1 species